UACGGGGGGGGGGCAAGCGUUGUUCGGAAUUACUGGGCGUAAAGGGCUCGUAGGCGGCCAACUAAGUCGGAUGUGAAAUCCCCCAGGCUUAACCUGGGAACUGCAUCCGAUACUGGAUGGCUUGAAUCCGGGAGAGGGAUGCGGAAUUCCAGGUGUAGCGGUGAAAUGCGUAGAUAUCUGGAGGAACACCGGUGGCGAAGGCGGCAUCCUGGACCGGCAUUGACGCUGAGGAGCGAAAGCCAGGGGAGCAAAACGGG
rnacentral:rRNA from 1 species